rnacentral:rRNA from 1 species
GAUGAACGCUGGCGGCGUGCCUUAUACAUGCAAGUCGAGCGAACAGACGAGGAGCUUGCUCCUCUGACGUUAGCGGCGGACGGGUGAGUAACACGUGGAUAACCUACCUAUAAGACUGGGAUAACUUCGGGAAACCGGAGCUAAUACCGGAUAACAUGUUGAACCGCAUGGUUCAACAGUGAAAGACGGUCUUGCUGUCACUUAUAGAUGGAUCCGCGCCGCAUUAGCUAGUUGGUAAGGUAACGGCUUACCAAGGCAACGAUGCGUAGCCGACCUGAGAGGGUGAUCGGCCACACUGGAACUGAGACACGGUCCAGACUCCUACGGGAGGCAGCAGUAGGGAAUCUUCCGCAAUGGGCGAAAGCCUGACGGAGCAACGCCGCGUGAGUGAAGAAGGUCUUCGGAUCGUAAAACUCUGUUAUUAGGGAAGAACAAAUGUGUAAGUAACUAUGCACGUCUUGACGGUACCUAAUCAGAAAGCCACGGCUAACUACGUG